UAAAAUCGUGUCGGUGGAUCAUUC
rnacentral:rRNA from 1 species